GUAACCAUGAACUCUCCCUCUAGGGUCUCAUUAGCAAGGCCAACUGUGCUGCAGUGGAGGAAAACAGUAUCACAUACUUGAUGGAGAUUGUAGCCAUUCAAGGCAAACCCUAGAUUUGUCUUUUACUGGAAGGAGCAUGAAUUGGAUGGAAAGGAAACUUCAAAAAGGAGUUAGAAGAAAACCACUGCCUGAGUGGCCCCUUUACCAAAAGUGUCUUUGUUCAUUUGGAAAUAGUAUUCACGAGCUUUUGAAAGUUUACUGUGGUCAAAUGUUGCAUGUGGAGCAUGGACCAUGAUGGAUCUGAAGACUUAUUCUUUGGUUACUCCACAUUCUGACCAUAUGGUGGUGGGAAGUCAUUCUUUGCUUCAGCUUUCCCAUAGGUGGAAUAGGGAUGAGAGUGUUGGACUCCGGGAGUGAGUGUACCUGGCCAGGGUAUUAUCUGGGAUCUUCCAAUGAUCUCCCUAAGAUCCUCCUUUACACAAGGGCACUGAUUUGCAGACAUAUUUUCUACGAGGACGAGAAGACAAAAAGUGUUGUAAUGUAAGCUUCAAAAGGAGCACAAGAGUCCCGGCCCUUUGUGUCACACUGCCACGAACUCUACUGCGUUCUACUAAUUGACUUCUGCCUAAAGAUUGAUUGGUCCUAAUGCUUCAUGGGUGAACCUGCAAAUGAAUGUCCUGAUGAUAAGAACUGAACUCAAGGCAAGAAGUGAAAAAUUCCAACUAUUUCCCUAGAAGAAUGGAAGAGUAAUUUUGGAUUAGAUAG
rnacentral:lncRNA from 1 species